rnacentral:rRNA from 1 species
CAGGAGUAUGAAGAAGCCAGCCCUCCUGAGAGAGCGGCAGAUGGAGAGGCGGAGGAUGAUAAUUACAUGCCUCCCUCCGAAGAUGAGGCAAGCCUCGACGAUGACGAAUUCGUCGUGCCAGAGGAUCCCGUCGAACAAGAGCGCUUCAAGCGCCGGCUUAUAGCCACGGCAAAUAGCCUUAAGAAAAACCAACAACAGGUUCAAGCUGAUCAAGAUUUGCUAGCUGAUAGAUGGACUGAUGUCCUGGCGGCCGAGGAAUAUAAACUCGAACGCCCCUCUAAGAGUUACCCAAAGUGCAGGUUGCUUCCCCAACUGGAGGAGGAAGCACCAAAACCC